rnacentral:rRNA from 1 species
UACGGGGGGGGCAAGCGUUGUUCGGAAUUACUGGGCGUAAAGGCUCGUAGGCGGCCAACUAAGUCGGAUGUGAAAUCCCCAGGCUUAACCUGGGAACUGCAUCCGAUACUGGAUGGCUUGAAUCCGGGAGAGGGAUGCAGAAUUCCAGGUGUAGCGGUGAAAUGCGUAGAUAUCUGGAGGAAUACCGGUGGCGAAGGCGGCAUCCUGGACCGGCAUUGACGCUGAUGAGCGAAAGCUAGGGGAGCAAACGGG